rnacentral:lncRNA from 1 species
GGGGGGAGGAGUUGCCUCCAGACUUUUGGGCUGUGUUUAGGCUCAUUAUAGGAUAGGAGAGCAUCUCCACUCUGCUGAGUGUGUACCAGGAGAUACAGGAAGGACCUGAAGGCAGAGUCAAGCUCCAGAAGAAGGACCACCAGGAUCCAGAAAAGGACCAGCACCCCCGGUCUACACUGGAACCCAACCACCAUGCUAGGAGAAGCCUCAAUCGCAUGGAGAGGCCAUGUGGAGGAGAGCUGAGUGAGUGACCACUUGGACAGCCCAGCCCAGUCAAGCCUUGGAUGAUUGCAGCCCAGCCAAUGCCAGGAGGACCAGAAGACCCAGCCAGCUGAGCCCAGCCAGCCCACAGAAUCAUGAGCAAUAAUAAAAGAUGGUUGUCUUAAGCCACUCAGUUUUGGGAAGAUUUGUUAUACAGUAAUUGAAAAUGGACACCUCCAGAAUUAGCAAACAAAAAGAUGGCUGGAAAUAAAUCCAACCAACGCAGUCUGUCGAGUUAUAAGCAAGAAGGAGUCUGGGAUGACUCCUUCGUGUCGUGAGGAUGUGACAUGAGGUAAAUGUUGGCAAACGCUGGGAUGAGAGGAGCUACUGACACUGGCUGCAGUCCUGAUUAUGAUCCACAGGGUCACACUUGUACAAUCAGCAGGCCUGCUAUCUAUCCCCUCCUGCCUCCCUAUUUAUCUUCACACUCAGAUAACUGCCUUCCUGCAGGCUUUGCCCACUGCCGCCCUGCACCCAUCCUGACCCAUCCCAGCCUGGGUGAAACCACACAAGAGGGUGGAUCUGGGGUUAGCCACGCUGCCAUCAGCCCAGGAUCCUGUGUGCCGAGGAUGGAAUUUGAAGCCCAGCAUCCCUGCCACCUGCUUGGAAUGUAAUGAUUAUCCCCAUGUUGGGGCUUGACACAGACACAGAGAAGUUCCCUUAUAAUGCAUCCCCCCU